rnacentral:rRNA from 1 species
GACGAACGCUGGCGGCGUGCUUAACACAUGCAAGUCGAACGGAAAGGCCCUGCUUUUGUGGGGUGCUCGAGUGGCGAACGGGUGAGUAACACGUGAGUAACCUGCCCUUGACUUUGGGAUAACUUCAGGAAACUGGGGCUAAUACCGGAUAGGAGCUCCUGCUGCAUGGUGGGGGUUGGAAAGUUUCGGCGGUUGGGGAUGGACUCGCGGCUUAUCAGCUUGUUGGUGGGGUAGUGGCUUACCAAGGCUUUGACGGGUAGCCGGCCUGCGAGGGUGACCGGCCACAUAGGGACUGAGAUACGGGCCAGACUCCUACGGGAGGCAGCAGUGGGGAAUAGUGCACAAUGGGCGGAAGCCUGAUGCAGCAACGCCGCGUGCGGGAUGACGGCCGUCGGGUUGUAAACCGCUUUCGCCUGUGACGAAGCGUGAGUGACGGUAAUGGGUAAAGAAGCACCGGCUAACUACGUG